rnacentral:rRNA from 1 species
CCUACGGGAGGCAGCAGUGAGGAAUAUUGGUCAAUGGCCGAGAGUCUGAACCAGCCAAGUAGCGUGAAGGAUGACUGCCCUAUGGGUUGUAAACUUCUUUUAUCUGGGAAUAAAAUGUUCACCGUUUGCCAUUUUGUAUGUACCAUAUGAAUAAGGAUCGGCUAACUCCGUGCCAGCAGCCCCGGUAAUACGGAGGAUCCGAGCGUUAUCCGGAUUUAUUGGUUUUAAAGGGAGCGUAGGUGGAUUGUAAAGUCAGUUGUGAAAGUUUGCGGCUCAACCGUAAAAUUGCAGUUGAAACUGGCAGUCUUGAGUACAGGAGAGGUGGGCGGAAUUCGUGGUGUAGCGGGGAAAUGCUUAGAUAUCACGAAGAACCCCGAUUGCGAAGGCAGCUCACUGGACUGCAAAUGACACUGAGGCUCGAAAGUGUGGGUAUCAAACAGGAUUAGAUACCCCUGUAGUC